GUCAGCAGACACUUGAGAACUUAAAUUGAGGUGCAAAACCCGGAAGUGAGGUAGCGUAAGGGGAGUCCAUAGCGCGAGACAACUACAACGGAACUUAGCUAGGCCUACAACUACAAAGAUCAAUCCCACAGUGGAGACGAACGAGGUUCGAUAUAAAAAAUCGUCUAAACAAGGACCACAGCGUUACCGUUUUGAGCCUCCAAGGCGUCCAAGGUACCGGAAACAGGGGAGGAGGAUAAUUAACGGGGAUCGGCUCGGGAGCGAGACUGAGCAGAACUUGUGGCGAGGUGGACAGUUAUCCAGGCAGACUCCCCGUCCGGCUGUGUCUCAGAGCCAGGAAGAUGAGGAUGCUGCAGAGAGAGGCAGCACCAGGUUUCCAUGGUGAAGAGGGCGGGGUUCCCCCCCCCCUCAGGGCCCAGUCAUGGUGAUGUUGGCCCAGGACGGGAACUCGUUGAGGCC